GCCAAGCCCCCGUCAGAGCCACUUCGUCGAUGCCGCCGUACUGUUGGUUGUAGAAAUGCGGGUGUUGUGUUUUGACGCUGUAUUUCACAACCUUUUCCAGCAGUUCUUCAACCUGGGCGAACGAAAGGCCUUCGCGAAUUUGUUUCUCCGAUUAGUCUACUGAUGGACAUACGAAAGUUUACUAGAAGAGCCAGCUUAGUGAAGGACCCCCCCGACGGCCAGGCAACUGCAGAAGUAGUCAGUCAUCGCGCACGGAGGUAUUAAAUCAUGCAUGACUAUCACUCUCGCCGGGCAAGGCAGCUGGGCGGGAGACACUCCACGGCCGGCGGGUGCGCAGUGUGGGUGCAAAGCCUCCGACUUCCUCAGGUAUGUUGCAAAAGUCACCGUAGCCACAGAGUGCAAGGAAGCACGUAGGCGAUUGUCACUGAGAUAUUCGACUGAAACAAGGAUUUUAGUUUGUUUUAGUCUAAAUACCAUCGAAUUUGUUUUUUUAUCGCAGGUGAGCUUGACCUUUUGUUGUUUCGGUUUAUGUACACAUGUUUUGUUUAGCCUCCCAACGCUAGGGGUUUCAGUUUCGUUGUGGUGCCUGUUUACUUGCAUGUUUUUGUGCAUGACGCUUGUCUGUCGAUUUAAUUAUCGGUUCGAGGUAGCUCGUUACCAUCUAAAUGUUCCAGCCGAAUGUUUUUCAUCUCAUGUUACAGCAGUUAUUGAAUGUUAUAAUGAAUGUUAAA